UGCUAUAGCUCAGUUGGUAGAGCGACUGAUUCGUAAUCAGUAGGUCGCAAGUUCAAUCCUUGUUAGCAG
rnacentral:tRNA from 1 species